rnacentral:tRNA from 1 species
GCCGCAGUGGCUUAGUGGUAUAGCGGCGCCUUGGUAAGGCGCAGAUCGGGGGUUCAAUUCCCCCCUGCGGCUCUA